AACGAACGCUGGCGGCAGGCCUAACACAUGCAAGUCGAGCGAGGACUUCGGUUCUAGCGGCGGACGGGUGAGUAACGCGUGGGAAUGUGCCCUUCUCUACGGAAUAGCCCUGGGAAACUGGGAGUAAUACCGUAUACGCCCUAUUGGGGAAAGAUUUAUCGGAGAAGGAUCAGCCCGCGUUGGAUUAGGUAGUUGGUGGGGUAAUGGCCUACCAAGCCGACGAUCCAUAGCUGGUUUGAGAGGAUGAUCAGCCACACUGGGACUGAGACACGGCCCAGAAUCCUACGGGAGGCAGCAGUGGGGAAUCUUAGACAAUGGGGGCAACCCUGAUCUAGCCAUGGCGCGUGAGUGAUGAAGGCCUUAGGGUUGUAAAGCUCUUUCAGCUGGGAAGAUAAUGACGGUACCAGCAGAAGAAGCCCCGGCUAACUCCGUG
rnacentral:rRNA from 1 species